UGGCGAACGGGUGAGUAACGCGUGAGCAAUCUGCCUCUUUGUGGGGGGAUAACGCACCGAAAGGUAGUGCUAAUACCGCAUAAAACUAUUACGGCAUCGUAAGUAGAUGAAAGGAGCAAUUCGCAGAGAGAUGAGCUCGCGUCCAAUUAGCUAGUUGGUGAGAUAACAGCCCACCAAGGCGACGAUUGGUAGCCGGACUGAGAGGUUGAACGGCCACAUUGGGACUGAGACACGGCCCAGACUCCUACGGGGAGGCAGCAGUGGGGAAUAUUGCGCAAUGGGGGAAACCCUGACGCAGCAACGCCGCGUGAAGGAAGAAGGUCUUCGGAUUGUAAACUUUUGUCUUCAGGGAAGAUAAUGACGGUACCUGAGGAGGAAGCCACGACUAACUACGUGCCAGCCGCCGC
rnacentral:rRNA from 1 species